CCUACGGGAGGCAGCAGUAGGGAAUCUUUCACAAUGGGCGAAAGCCUGAUGGAGCAACGCCGCGUGCAGGAUGAAGGCCUUCGGGUUGUAAACUGCUUUUAUAAGCGAGAAAUAUGAUGGUAACUUAUGAAUAAGGAUCGGCUAACUACGUGCCAGCAGCCGCGGUCAUACGUAGGAUCCGAGCAUUAUCCGGAGUGACUGGGUGUAAAGAGUUGCGUAGGUGGCAUAAUAAGUAGCUAGUGAAAUCUGGUGGCUCAACCAUUCAGACUAUUAGCUAAACUGUUAAGCUCGAGACCGUUAGGGGUAACUGGAAUUACUAGUGCAGGAGUGAAAUCCGUAGAUAUUAGAAGGAACACCAAUAGCGUAGGCAGGUUGCUGGGACGGUUCUGACACUAAGGCACGAAAGCGUAGGGAGCAAACGGGAUUAGAUACCCUUGUAGUC
rnacentral:rRNA from 1 species